rnacentral:rRNA from 1 species
CCUACGGGAGGCUGCAGUAGGGAAUCUUCCACAAUGGGUGAAAGCCUGAUGGAGCAACGCCGCGUGGGUGAAGAAGGUCUUCGGAUCGUAAAACCCUGUUGUUAGAGAAGAAAGUGCGUGAGAGUAACUGUUCACGUUUCGACGGUAUCUAACCAGAAAGCCACGGCUAACUAGGUGCCAGCAGCCGCGGUAAUACGUAGGUGGCAAGCGUUAUCCGGAUUUAUUGGGCGGAAAGGUAACGCAGGCGGUCUUUUAAGUCUGAUGUGAAAGCCUUCGGCUUAACCGGAGUAGUGCAUUGGAAACUGGGAGACGUGAGUGCAGAAGAGGAGAGUGGAACUCCAUGUGUAGCGGUGAAAUGCGUAGAUAUAUGGAAGAACACCAGUGGCGAAAGCGGCUCUCUGGUCUGUAACUGACGCUGAGGUUCGAAAGCGUGGGUAGCAAACAGGAUUAGAUACCCUUGUAGUC